rnacentral:rRNA from 1 species
UACGUAGGUGGCAAGCGUUGUCCGGAUUUACUGGGCGUAAAGAGCGCGCAGGCGGUCGUGCAAGUCGCGUGUGAAAGCCCCCGGCUCAACUGGGGAGGGUCACGCGAUACUGCUCGACUUGAAGGCAGGAGAGGGAAGUGGAAUUCCCGGUGUAGUGGUGAAAUGCGUAGAUAUUAGGAAGAACACCAGUGGCGAAGGCGGCUCACUGGCCCGGUACUGACGCUGAGGCGCGAAAGCGUGGGGAGCAAACAGG